AUACUCGGUUCAUUUUGGCAAUUACUAUCUUGUUUGUUGUUUUUCAGUCAUGCAAGAUUCUUUGUGACGCCAUUUGGGAUUCUCAUGGCAAAGAUACUGGAGUGGUUGGCCAUUUCCUUCUCUAGCUCAUUUUACAGAAGAGGAAACUGAGGCAAAUGGGAGGAAUUCUAAAGAACAAGAAGAAUUCAGUACAGCUUCCCAAAGGACUGCUCAAAGAUCUCCAGAAAUUUUGUAAGCGAAUCAGCCCCCAAGCCAUUUUUGAAAAUUCUUUGGACUCAGGCACUGAAGAAGAUGGAAAAGCUAACCAAAUGAUGUUGGACUCUUCCCACCCCCAUCACCACCCAGUUUCCAUUGUAGCUAGUUUCUACUGAGGCCAGGUAGAACCAGGAACCUGGGAGGAAAUGGAUCCAGAUCCAGCCCACCACCUUAGAACACCAAGAGAAUGGAAGUCUUCAUAGAGUUUUUGGCUUCUGGGAGUCUGUGCUGUAUGUAGCACUGAACAUACUAAAUUGUGGAUUAUGUCAGUGUUGUCUUUGGGGGCACCCAUUUGGGGAACCUGCUUUCUUCCCCUUCUCCCACCAGCAUGUCCACUCACGAUUUCUCCACUGCAACAACCCAUCAGCUAUGCCUGCCAAACUGUUUCUGAGGCAACUAGUGGGUAGUGGAUAGAGUGCUAGUCUUGGAAUCAGGAAGACCUGAAUUAAAAUGCCACCUCUGUCACUUACUAGCUGUGUUAACCAUGCCGUAAUACACUUCUCAGUGCCUUGAUUUCCUUAUCUGAUAAAUGGAGAUAACACUUAUUGCAUAAGGUUGUUGUGAUGUUCAAUAAGAUAGCAUAGGUAAAGUGUUUUAAAAUCCUUAACAUGCCUUAUAUGGCUAUUUUCUUUUUUUAACUUGGAAAUUUUUAUAUUAUCUGGAAUAUUGUCUUAGCAGUCAGCACUUGUUCAUUACAAUUUCUUUUUUUUCUUUAGAAUAUUUUUCCAUGGUUCCAUGAUUCAUGAUUCCUCCCCCCUCUUCACUAUCCCCUCCUAGAGCUGACAAGCAGUUCCACUGGUUUAUACAUGUAUCAUUGAUCAAAAACCCAUUUCCAUUUUAUUCAUAUUUGCAGUAGAGAGAUCUUUUAACAUCAAAACCCUAAUCAUAUCCCCAUCACACUAUG
rnacentral:lncRNA from 1 species